CUCGGCGCUGCCCUCGGACGGGCGGGCUCGGGAAAAGUCAGCUUUAAACGUCUACGAGUAUUUACUGCACGUAGGAGCCCAGAAAUCUGCACAGACUCCUUAUCCGAGAUUCGAUGGGAAAAAGACAUCACGCUGGGAGAACCGCCUGGGGUUUUGCACCCGUGGCGGCGUUUUGGGACCUUUCCUGGGCAGCUCCUGAAAGGAGAGGCGCUUGUGAACAUCCAAGUGAAGCAAAAGCCUGUCGUGAUUCUAGUGCAGCAGCUGCCCCGAGCCCCGUGCUUGGCAACAUUCCCCCCAAUGAUGGGGUGCCGGGAGGCCCCAGCCCGCCAGGUUUCUUUCAGGGUCCUCCGGGGUCACAGCCCUCGCCGCACGCACAGCCUCCACCUCACAAUCCUAGCAACAUGAUGGGACCCCACAGUCAGCCUUUUAUGUUACGGAGAUAUGCAGGCAGCCCCAGGCCCCCGAUCAGAAUGGGAAGCCAGCCUCCGGGAGGGGUUCCUGGGACACAGCCAUUGCUGCCCAAUUCCAUGGAUCCCACACGACAACAAGCCCACCCCAACAUGGGAGGAUCAAUGCAGAGAAUGAACCCUCCCCCAGGCAUGGGGCCCAUGGGUCCUGGCCCACAGAAUUACAACAGCGGCAUGAGACCAUCACCCAACUCCCUCGGUCCCCCCCAUGCCCGGAUUAACAUGGGCCCCGGAGCUGGCAGGCCCUGGCCCAAUCCUAACAGUGCUAACUCGAUUCCAUACUCCUCCUCAUCACCCGGUACCUAUGUGGGACCCCCUGGUGGUGGGGAACCCCUGGUGGUGGCGGCCCUCCAGGAACACCCAUUAUGCCCAGUCCCGCAGAUUCAACUAAUUCCAGUGACAACAUCUACACAAUGAUUAAUCUGGUGCCUCCUGGAGGCAGCAGGUCCAGCUUCCCAAUGGGUCCCGGCUCGGAUGGUCCGACGGGCGGCAUAAAGCCACACCACAUGAACGAUCGUUAGGGUCAGACCACGUAGAUGGACUUCCAAAAAAUUCUCCUAACAACAUAAGUGGCAUUAGCAAUCCUCCAGGCACCCCUCGAGAUGAUGGCGAGCUAAGAGGGAACUUCCUCCACUCCUUUCAGAACGACAAUUAUUCUCCAAGCAUGAUGAUGAGUGUGUGAUUCCCCCUUCUCCAAGACGCUGAGAGAGCCAGCAUUGCAGGUGGGAAGAUGCCAGAAAUUAUGCAAGAAGUGAGGUGUCAUUAUCUAGGAGCUGGUGGGGAGGGCAUCUCCCUGCUCCCCUCAACCCCCUCCCACCCCUCCCACCCCCUCCACCUUUCCCAAUUUUAGUUUCAUCCAAUAAAAAGGCCGAACUUUUUAUUCCAUAAAACAUGAAGGACAAAACUCAAAAUGUAUUUCGAGUCAGUGACCAGGAAAAUCCUACCCCUCGCUCUUUCCCCAAAGGACCUUUUCUGUACAUGACACUUUUUUGUUGUUUCUUUGGGAUUUUACCAUUGUUGGGAGUUUUUUAUUUGUUUUCAGGGGGGUUUUUUGUGGGAAGAAUUUUAAAUGGAAGCUUCUAGCAAGCCCCCCACCACAACCAACCCCUAUGCUUU